AGGACGAACGCUGGCGGCGUGCUUAACACAUGCAAGUCGAGCGAGGCUCCUCCUUCGGGAGGAUGUCCUAGCGGCGAACGGGUGAGUAACACGUGGGCAACCUGCCCUCAGCUCUGGGAUAACUCCGGGAAACCGGGGCUAAUACCGGAUACGACCUCCACGGGCAUCUGUGGAGGUGGAAAGUUUUUCGGCUGAGGAUGGGCCCGCGGCCUAUCAGCUAGUUGGUGGGGUGAUAGCCCACCAAGGCGACGACGGGUAGCCGGCCUGAGAGGGCGACCGGCCAACGACGUGGGACUGAGACACGGCCCAGACUCCUACGGGAGGCAGCAGUGGGGAAUAUUGCGCAAUGGGCGAAAGCCUGACGCAGCGACGCCGCGUGAGGGACGAAGGCCUUCGGGUUGUAAACCUCUUUCAGCAGGGACGAAGCGAGAGUGACGGUACCUGCAGAAGAAGCACCGGCCAACUACGUGCCAGCAGCCGC
rnacentral:rRNA from 1 species